rnacentral:misc_RNA from 1 species
GUCAAAGUCAAACUAAGGUUGAAGUGCAAUGUCUGUCACCAUUUUCAAAAUUCCUUCAACCCCAUGAUGAGAACCUAAACCCCCCACCCCUACCCUCACCCCGCAACCCCAAACUCUCAACAAUUUUCGUGCAAUUGCUGUACCUUUUAGCUUUUCCCAACUCUUUGCUCAAAUCUGGAUCUGAUUCAUACAAAUUAGUGCAAAUAUUCAAGCUGUAAAGCAGUGAUAACAAAGAAUCUCAA